rnacentral:rRNA from 1 species
AACGAACGCUGGCGGCAUGCCUAACACAUGCAAGUCGAACGAAGUCUUCGGACUUAGUGGCGCACGGGUGCGUAACGCGUGGGAAUCUGCCCUUGGGUGCGGAAUAACUUCUCGAAAGGGAUGCUAAUACCGCAUAAUGUCGUAAGACCAAAGAUUUAUCGCCCAAGGAUGAGCCCGCGUAAGAUUAGCUAGUUGGUGGGGUAAAAGCCUACCAAGGCGACGAUCUUUAGCUGGUCUGAGAGGAUGAUCAGCCACACUGGGACUGAGACACGGCCCAGACUCCUACGGGAGGCAGCAGUGGGAAUAUUGGACAAUGGGCGAAAGCCUGAUCCAGCAAUGCCGCGUGAGUGAUGAAGGCCUUAGGGUUGUAAAGCUCUUUUACCCGGGAUGAUAAUGACAGUACCGGGAGAAUAAGCCCCCGGCUAACUCCGUGCCAGCAACCGCGGUAAU